rnacentral:rRNA from 1 species
GUGAACGCUGGCGGUAGGCCUAACACAUGCAAGUCGAACGGCAGCACAGUAAGAGCUUGCUCUUACGGGUGGCGAGUGGCGGACGGGUGAGGAAUACAUCGGAAUCUACUUUUUCGUGGGGGAUAACGUAGGGAAACUUACGCUAAUACCGCAUACGACCUACGGGUGAAAGCAGGGGAUCUUCGGACCUUGCGCGAUUGAAUGAGCCGAUGUCGGAUUAGCUAGUUGGCGGGGUAAAGGCCCACCAAGGCGACGAUCCGUAGCUGGUCUGAGAGGAUGAUCAGCCACACUGGAACUGAGACACGGUCCAGACUCCUACGGGAGGCAGCAGUGGGGAAUAUUGGACAAUUGGCGCAAGCCUGAUCCAGCCAUACCGCGUGGGUGAAGAAGGCCUUCGGGUUGUAAAGCCCUUUUGUUGGGAAAGAAAAGCAGCAGGUUAAUACCCCGCUGUUCUGACGGUACCCAAAGAAUAAGCACCGGCUAACUCCGUG